CCUACGGGUGGCAGCAGUAGGGAAUAUUGCUCAAUGGGGGAAACCCUGAACCAGCAACGCCGCGUGGAGGAUGAAGGUUUUCGGAUUGUUAACUCCUUUUGUUAGAGAAGAUAAUGACGGUACCUAACGAAUAAGCACCGGCUAACUCCGUGCCAGCAGCCGCGGGAAUACGGAGGGUGCAAGCGUUACUCGGAAUCACUGGGCGUAAAGCGUGCGUAGGCGGGAUAGCAAGUCAGAUGUUAAAUCCUAUGGCUUAACCAUAGAACUGCAUUUGAAACUGUUAGUCUAGAGUAUGGGAGAGGUAGGUGGAAUGCGUGGUGUAGGGGUGAAAUGCGUAGAGAUCAAGAGGAAUACUGAUUGCGAAGGCGACCUGCUAGAACAUAACUGACGCUGAUGCGCGAAAGCGUGGGGAGCAAACAGGAUUAGAUACCCUUGUAGUC
rnacentral:rRNA from 1 species